UACAGAGGGUGCGAGCGUUAAUCGGAAUUACUGGGCGUAAAGGGUGUGUAGGUGGAUAGGUAAGUUAGAUGUGAAAUCCCCGGGCUUAACCUGGGAACUGCGUUUAAAACUGCGUAUCUAGAGUAAUGUAGAGGAUAGUGGAAUUUCCAGUGUAGCGGUGAAAUGCGUAGAUAUUGGAAGGAACACCAGUGGCGAAGGCGACUAUCUGGACAGAUACUGACACUGAGACACGAAAGCGUGGGGAGCAAACAGG
rnacentral:rRNA from 1 species